GCUCUGACUGCAGAGGAAGUAAUAAUUGUUCCUUCUAAAUACUGAUUAAUCGCCGCCUCCUUUUUCCUCUGCAGAAACGUAUCUCAUCAAGGUUUCCUGUCAUCUUCUUGAUUUAAGAUCAAAGGCUUGGUCGUAAGUGAGUUCUUAGCUUAGAAGUUAUUGGAUUCUUUCUACGUGCUAGGGUUAGAUACUUUGCAGCUGUUGGCAAUGUCUGCCGGAACGGAAAAUCUCUGGCGCUGUUUGGAGUAUUGGUCCCAGAAAAUUAAGAAGGUUGUACCACAUGUAGAACACUGGUAUUUGUUCUCAAAAGCUGGUGUCAAGGUAGAGAAUGGUGGAAUAUCUCCAGGUGCCCAAAAAGAAUCAUUUUCCAGGUCGCAUUGGUAGUUCUAGUAAUCUGACGGAAACUGGCAGUUGGGUUGAGAUAGAGUGCCCACUUUCUGAGAUAGCCUUAUAUGAGAAAUUCCCCUUGGCUCUUCAUAUGCAUUAGGGUGUUUGAUUAUCCUUUUGAACAAAGUUCACGUUAUAGAUUCUUCAGUCAGCAUCCAAGUACAAGUUUAUGCAUGAUGGCGAUUAUGACCAUGCAUCUUUACAGAAAGAUACGCUUUCCUCUUCCCUUUUUGUGAAGAACAAAGGUGAAUCUGCUUUCAAGUUUCUUUCCUUAAUUUGUUUCUAAGCUUUGUUGAUUUCAGAUUCACAAGUUUGUAUCGUCCGAGUGAGUCAAUCCCUUUUUUGACUCUGAGCACACAGUAGCAUAUAUAUGUAUAUAUACAUGAACGUAGCAUAUCUUCAGAGGUCUCUUCUUCCAUCUCCCUUUAUUCUUAUUCGGGAGCUUUUGAUAAUCAAGAACAAUAAUGGUGAGUGUUUAAUCAGAGGCAUUGAUGUAAUUUGAUAUUGUUUGGUA